AUUGAACGCUGGCGGCAGGCCUAACACAUGCAAGUCGAGCGAGCGGCGGACGGGUGAGUAAUGUCUGGGAAACUGCCUGAUGGAGGGGGAUAACUACUGGAAACGGUAGCUAAUACCGCAUACCAUCAGAUGUGCCCAGAUGGGAUUAGCGAGUGGGUGGGGUAACGGCUCACCUAGGCGACGAUCCCUAAAUGGUCUGAGAGGAUUACCAGCCACACUGGAACUGAGAGACGGUCCCGACUCAGACGGGAGGCAGCAGUGGGAAAUGUUGCACAAUGGGCGCAUGCCUGAUGCAGCCAGGGCGCGUGUGGGAAGAAGGCCUUCGGGUUUUAAAGCACUUUCAGCGUUGAGGCGUUACCCGCAGAAGAAGCACCGGCUAACUCCGAGCCAGCAGCCGCGGUAAUAC
rnacentral:rRNA from 1 species